UACGUAGGGUCCGAGCGUUGUCCGGAAUUAUUGGGCGUAAAGAGCUCGUAGGCGGUUUGUCGCGUCUGCCGUGAAAUCCCGAGGCUCAACCUCGGGUCUGCAGUGGGUACGGGCAGACUGGAGUGCGGUAGGGGAGAAUGGAAUUCCUGGUGUAGCGGUGGAAUGCGCAGAUAUCAGGAGGAACACCGAUGGCGAAGGCAGUUCUCUGGGCCGUAACUGACGCUGAGGAGCGAAAGCGUGGGGAGCGAACAGG
rnacentral:rRNA from 1 species